AGAUUAAGAACUAAGGCUGUGAGCAGGGAAAUACCUUGCCCAAGGCUACAUUGCUGAUUUUACAGACUGGAGAAUUGAGGCCCAGAAUGUCUAACCCUGCCAGAGCCAAAGAGCAAGAAGGAGUCAACUUCAAUUCCAUGUCUUUGCCAGCUGGAGAGGCCCAUGGGACAAGGAACUGAGGGAGGCCAUCCACCAUUGCAAUGAAGGAACAGAGGCCCUCAGCCCAGUCACCCUGGAGGGACUGAAUUCCAACAACAACUAUGAGUGAGCCCAGAAUUGGAGCCUUCAGAUGAGACCACAACCCUGGCUAACACCUUGAUUGCAGCUUUGUGAGAGAUCCUAAGCCAGAGGCCCCCAGCUAAGUGAUACAUGGAUUUCUGACCCACAGAAACU